rnacentral:rRNA from 1 species
AUACGGAGGGUGCAAGCGUUAUCCGGAUUCAUUGGGUUUAAAGGGUGCGCAGGCGGACUUGUAAGUCAGUGGUGAAAUCCCGGGGCUCAACCUCGGAACUGCCAUUGAUACUGCAAGUCUUGAGUUUGGUUGAAGUGGGCGGAAUGUAGCAUGUAGCGGUGAAAUGCAUAGAUAUGCUACAGAACACCGAUCGCGAAGGCAGCUCACUAAACCAACACUGACGCUCUGGCACGAAAGCGUGGGGAGCGAACAGGAUUAGAAACCCCGGUAGUCC